ensembl:snoRNA
GGAGUGUGCUCAGAGCAGGAGGCCUGAAGAAUGGCUUCCCUGUUUACAACACACCCAACAGGAAGCCGGGGGUCAUUGGGACAAAGGGGACACAGCUGUGGCUUCCCUGUGCCCAGACGCCCUACACAC